GAUGAACGCUGGCGGCGUGCCUAAUACAUGCAAGUCGAGCGAAAAGACGAGGAGCUUGCGCCGCUGACGUUAGCGGCGGACGGGUGAGAAACACGUGGAUAACCUACCUAUAAGAGGGGGAUAACUUCGGGAAACCGGAGCAAAUACCGGAGAAUAUAUUGAAGCGCAUGGGGCAAUAGUGAAAGACGGUGGUGGUGGCACGACUAGAGGGAUCCGAGCCGGAUUAGGUGGUUGGGAAGGUAAAGGCUUACCAAGGGAACGAUGCGUAAGCGAGCUGAGGGGGUGGUCGGCCACCCUGGAGCUGAGCCACGGUCCAGGCUCCUAAGGGAGGCACCAGUAGCCAAUCUUCCGCAAUGGGCGAGAGCCUGACGGAGCAACGCCGCGUGAGUGAUGACGGUCUUCGGUUCGUAAAACUCUGUUAUUAGGUAAGAACCAAUUUGUCAGUAACUGUGCACGUCUUGACGGUACCUAAUCAGAAAGCCACGGCUAACUACGUG
rnacentral:rRNA from 1 species